rnacentral:rRNA from 1 species
CCUACGGGAGGCAGCAGUGAGGAAUAUUGGUCAAUGGGCGAGAGCCUGAACCAGCCAAGUAGCGUGAGGGAUGACGGUCCUAUGGGUUGUAAACGUCUUUUAUAGGGGAAUAAAACACGGGAUGCAUAGCCUUUUGAAUGUACCAUAUGAAUAAGCAUCGGCUGACUCCGUGCCAGCAGCCGCGGUAAUACGGAGGAUGCGAGCGUUAUCCGGAUUUAUUGGGUUUAAAGGGAGCGUAGGUGGAAUGUUAAGUCAGUGGUAAAAGUUGACGGGUCAACCGUAGUAUUGCAGUUGAAACUGUCAGUCUUGAGUGCAGUAGAGGUAGGCGGAAUUCGUGGUGUAGCGGUGAAAUGCUUAGAUAUCACGCAGAACUCCGAUUGCGAAGGCAGCACACCGGCCUGCAACUGACGCUGAUGCACGAAAGUGUGGGUAUCGAACAGGAUUAGAUACCCGAGUAGUC